GAUGAACGCUGGCGGCGUGCCUAAUACAUGCAAGUCGAGCGAACAGAUAAGGAGCUUGCUCCUUUGACGUUAGCGGCGGACGGGUGAGUAACACGUGGGUAACCUACCUAUAAGACUGGAAUAACUCCGGGAAACCGGGGCUAAUGCCGGAUAACAUUUAGAACCGCAUGGUUCUAAAGUGAAAGAUGGUUUUGCUAUCACUUAUAGAUGGACCCGCGCCGUAUUAGCUAGUUGGUAAGGUAACGGCUUACCAAGGCAACGAUACGUAGCCGACCUGAGAGGGUAGACGGCCACACUGAAACUAGAAACCGGCCCGAACCCCCAGGGGGGGCAGCAGGGGGAAAUUUUCCGAAAUGGGGGAAAGCCUGAGGGGGCAACCCCGCGGGAGUAAUAAGGUUUUUCGAAUCGUAAACCCUUUUUUUUGGGAAAAAAAAAAGGUUAAAGAAAUGGGGCCCGUUUUGCCGGUACCAAAUCAAAAAGCCAGGCCAAACUCCGG
rnacentral:rRNA from 1 species